UGGGGAAUAUUGCACAAUGGGCGCAAGCCUGAUGCAGCCAUGCCGCGUGUAUGAAGAAGGCCUUCGGGUUGUAAAGUACUUUCAGCGGGGAGGAAGGGAGUAAAGUUAAUACCUUUGCUCAUUGACGUUACCCGCAGAAGAAGCACCGGCUAACUCCGUGCCAGCAGCCGCGGUAAUACGGAGGGUGCAAGCGUUAAUCGGAAUUACUGGGCGUAAAGCGCACGCAGGCGGUUUGUUAAGUCAGAUGUGAAACCCCCGGGCUCAACCUGGGAACUGCAUCUGAUACUGGCAAGCUUGAGUCUCGUAGAGGGGGGUAGAAUUCCAGGUGUAGCGGUGAAAUGCGUAGAGAUCUGGAGGAAUACCGGUGGCGAAGGCGGCCCCCUGGACGAAGACUGACGCUCAGGUGCGAAAGCGUGGGGAGCAAACAGG
rnacentral:rRNA from 1 species